rnacentral:misc_RNA from 1 species
UGCUUUGGAUCAACUUUGUGAUAACGAAGGUAUGUCUCAUUCCAUUGCAGUACUUGCAGAAGCCGAUCACGAACACUCUCUGCAGUGGCAUAGAAAGCUUGCUUCGGCUCGAACUUGGAAAGGGAGAAAUGAGGGUUGAAUUGUGCAUGGUAAUUAAUAUUUGAUGCAAUCUUUAAAGGGUCUUCAGCCAAAGGGUUGGCAGCAGCCGGAAUAUUACAAGAAACAGCCGAAACAUAAGCACUAGUACCGUUGGCUGGCUUUUUAGUUGCCAUUGCUAACCUCUAAUAAUGCCUUGGAGAGGAAACGCUUGUUUCGCUAACAGAGAAGCAUCCAACGCCACCACCCUUUUUCAAC